CCUACGGGUGGCAGCAGUCGAGAAUCAUUCACAAUGGGGGAAACCCUGAUGGUGCGACGCCGCGUGGGGGAAUGAAGGUCUUCGGAUUGUAAACCCCUGUCAUGUGGGAGCAAAUUAAAAAGAUAGUACCACAAGAGGAAGAGACGGCUAACUCUGUGCCAGCAGCCGCGGUAAUACAGAGGUCUCAAGCGUUGUUCGGAAUCACUGGGCGUAAGGCGUGCGUAGGCUGUUUCGUAAGUCGUGUGUGAAAGGCGCGGGCUCAACCCGCGGACGGCACAUGAUACUGCGAGACUAGAGUAAUGGAGGGGGAACCGGAAUUCUCGGUGUAGCAGUGAAAUGCGUAGAUAUCGAGAGGAACACUCGUGGCGAAGGCGGGUUCCUGGACAUUAACUGACGCUGAGACACGAAGGCCAGGGGAGCGAAAGGGAUUAGAUACCCCGGUAGUC
rnacentral:rRNA from 1 species